rnacentral:rRNA from 1 species
UACGGAGGGGGUUAGCGUUGUUCGGAAUUACUAGGCGUAAAGCGCGCGUAGGCGGAUUAGAAAGUUGGGGGUGAAAUCCCGGGGCUCAACCCCGGAACUGCCUCCAAAACUACUAGUCUAGAGUUCGAGAGGGGUGAGUGGAAUUCCGAGUGUAGAGGUGAAAUUCGUAGAUAUUCGGAGGAACACCAGUGACGAAGGCGGCUCACUGGCUCGAUACUGACGCUGAGGUGCGAAAGUGUGGGGAGCAAACAGG